CGCAACUCGGGUGGCGCAGCCUACGAAAGGCAGUGUCGCGAGGAGAGCCCAUCAGCUCUGGGAAGUGCCUUNAGNGGGGAGGAAGGCGUUAAGGGGUAAUAACCUUGACGAUUGACGUUACCCGCAGAAGAAGCACCGGCUAACUCCGUGCCAGCAGCCGCGGUAAUA
rnacentral:rRNA from 1 species